UACGUAGGGCGCAAGCGUUAUCCGGAAUUAUUGGGCGUAAAGAGCUCGUAGGCGGUUUGUCGCGUCUGCUGUGAAAGCCCGGGGCUCAACCCCGGGUCUGCAGUGGGUACGGGCAGACUAGAGUGCAGUAGGGGAGACUGGAAUUCCUGGUGUAGCGGUGAAAUGCGCAGAUAUCAGGAGGAACACCGAUGGCGAAGGCAGGUCUCUGGGCUGUUACUGACGCUGAGGAGCGAAAGCAUGGGGAGCGAACAGG
rnacentral:rRNA from 1 species